rnacentral:rRNA from 1 species
ACGUAGGGUGCAAGCGUUAAUCGGAAUUACUGGGCGUAAAGCGUGCGCAGGCGGCUUUGCAAGACAGAUGCGAAAUCCCCGGGCUUAACCUGGGAACUGCAUUUGUGACUGCAUGGCUGGAGUGCGGCAGAGGGGGAUGGAAUUCCGCGUGUAGCAGUGAAAUGCGUAGAUAUGCGGAGGAACACCGAUGGCGAAGGCAAUCCCCUGGGAUAACACUGACGCUCAUGCACGAAAGCGUGGGGAGCAAACAGUA